rnacentral:sRNA from 1 species
GUACAUACCGGUAUACCAGAUCACCGGAUCCCACGACAUAUGUACAUAUUUAUUCUUGACCAGACCAGAGUGUUUUCGGCUACAUCCACGCGCCAAACAUUUUUCUGGUACUGUUUUCAGCCCGUUUAUUUUUGGCCAAACAGCAUAAUUGAACGACUAAUGAAAAUUCGAUUAUUAUCUACCACAAUCCACUCUACUCUCCUUUCCUUAAACUACUUUCAGACAAUCCAGAGGAUGUCUAUUAUUAUUAAAAGUAUAGGCGUAUAUUGGAUUUGUGGUGAAAAUGGAUGUGUGUAACGUCC